rnacentral:rRNA from 1 species
CUUUACUGCAACUUCGCAGUGGCGCCAGGAAGGGGCUGUGUAGGAUAGGUGGGAGGCUUUGAAGCAGGGGCGCUAGCCUUUGUGGAGCCAAGCUUGAAAUACCACCCUGCGCCUUUCUGGCGUCUAACCGCAUCCCGUGAUCCGGGAUCGGGACCCUGCGUGGUGGGCAGUUUGACUGGGGCGGUCGCCUCCCAAAUGGUAACGGAGGCGCGCGAUGGUGGGCUCAGGCCGGUCGGACAUCGGCUGUUGAGUGCAAAGGCACAAGCCCGCCUGACUGCGAGCGCGACAGCGCGAGCAGAGACGAAAGUCGGCCUUAGUGAUCCGGUGGUCCCGCGUGGAAGGGCCAUCGCUCAACGGAUAAAAGGUA